CUUUUAUUGAACAUUAACCGUCAUGUGUCACGUUUUGAUCGGACGUUAAUUUUGUGUAUCUAAUUAACACCAACCUUCAAUAAAAGCGUGGCACGUGUCGGUUAAGACAA
rnacentral:pre_miRNA from 1 species